rnacentral:rRNA from 1 species
GACAGAGGGUGCAAACGUUGUUCGGAAUUACUGGGCGUAAAGCGCGUGUAGGCGGCUCGGUAAGUCCGCUCUGAAAGUCCAGGGCUCAACCCUGGGAUGCGGGUGGAUACUGCCGGGCUCGAGUCCGGAAGAGGCGAGUGGAAUUCCCGGUGUAGCAGUGAAAUGUGUAGAUAUUCGGAAGGGCACCAGUGGCGAAGGCAGCAGAUUGGGCCGGUAUUGACGCUCAGGCACGAAAGCAUGGGGAUCAAACAGG